ACGGGUGAGUAACACGUAUGCAAUCCACCUGUAACAGGGGAGUAACCCGGAGAAAUCCGACUAAUACCCAUAAUAUGGGCGCUCCGCAUGGAGAGUUCAUUAAAGAGAGCAAUUUUGGUUUACAGACGAGCAUGCGCUCCAUUAGCCAGUUGGCGGGGUAACGGCCCACCAAGGCGACGAUGGAUAGGGGUUCUGAGAGGAAGGUCCCCCACAUUGGAACUGAGACACGGUCCAA
rnacentral:rRNA from 1 species